rnacentral:ncRNA from 1 species
AAUACAUGUUGGUUAUUUUGGAACACUUUAGUAUUUUAUAACCACAGGGAUAACUGGCUUGUGGCAGCCAAGCGUUCAUAGUGAAGUUGCUUUUUGAUGGUUCAAUGUCAGCUCUUCCUAUUGUUGUGAAGCAGAAUUCACCAAGUAUUGGAUUGUUCACCCACUGCUAGGGAAUGUGAGCUGAUUUUAGACCAUCGUGAGACAAGUUAGUUUUAC